rnacentral:lncRNA from 1 species
CCGGGAAAAACGGGAAUUCUGGGAAAAUGGGAAAUUCAGGAAUUUUGGGAAAAUGGGGAAUUCGGGAAUCUUGGGAAAAUGGGGAAUUCGGGAUUUCUGGGAAAAACAGGAAAUUUGGGAGUCUUGGGAAAUCGAGAAAUUUGGGGAUUUUUGGGAAAAUGGGAAAUUUGGGAUUUCUGGGAAAACGGGAAAUUCGGGAAUUCCGGGAAAAUGGGAUAUUGGGGAUAUCUGGGAAAUCUGGGAUUUAUGGGAAAAUGGGAAAAUCGGGAAUUCCGGGAAAAUGGGAUAUUGGGGAUAUCUGGGAAAUCUGGGAUUUAUGGGAAAACGGGAAAAUCGGGAAUUCCGGGAAAAUGGGAUAUUGGGGAUUUCUGGGAAAUUCGGGAUUUCUGGGAAAAUGGGAAAUUUGGGAAUCCCGGAAAAUUGGGAAAUUUGGAAUUUCUGGGAAAAUGGGAAAUUUGGGAUUUCUGGGAAAAUCGGGAAUUCCAGGAAAAAUGGGAAAAUCGGGAAAAACGGGGGAAAAAAUGGGAAAUUCGGGAAUCCUGGGAAAAUGGGAUAUUGGGGAUUUCUGGGAAAUGCGGGAAUCCUGGGAAAACGGGAAAUUUUGAAUUUCUGGGAAAAUGGGAAAUUCGGGAUUCCCGGGAAAACGGGAAAAUUGGAAAUCUUGGGAAAAUGGGAAAUUUGGGGAUUUCUGGGAAAUUUGGGAAUUCCGGGAAAAUGGGAAAUUUGGGAUUCCUGAGAAAUUUGGGAUUUCUGGGAAAAUGGGAAAUUUGGGAAUCCUGGGAAAAACGGGAAAUUUGGGGAUCCUGGGAAAAUUGGGAUUUCCGGGAAAUUCGGGAAUUCCGGGAAAAUGGGAUAUUGGGGAUUUCUGGGAAAUUCAGGGUUCAUGGGAAAUUCGGGAUUCUUGGGAAAAUGGGGAAUUUGGGAUUCCCGGGGAAAUUUGGGAAAUUUGGGAUUUCUGGGAAAUUUGGGAUUCUUGGGAUAUCGGGAAAUUUGGGAUUUCCGGGAAAAUGGGAUAUUGGGGAUUUCUGGGAAAAUCAGGAAUCCCGGGAAAAACGGGAAUUCCAGGAAAAAAUGGGAAAAUCAGGAAAAAUGGGAAAAUGGGAUAUUUGGGAAUUCCGGGAAAAACAGGAAAUUUGGGAUUUCUGGGAAAAUGGGAAAUUUGGGAUUUCUGGGAAGAAAAUGGGAAAUUUGGGAAUCCCGGAAAAUUGGGAAAUUCAGGAUUUCUGGGAAAAUGGGAAAAUUGGGAUUCUUGGGAUAUCGGGAAAUUUGGGAUUUCCAGGAAAAAUGGGAAAUUUGGGAUUCCCGGGAAAUCGGGAAUGGGAAAAUUGGGAUUUUUGGGAUCUGUGACUGGAGAAAAUCUGGGAUCUCCUGGGAUCAGGGAUUGGGGAUCGGAGGAAAUUCGGGAUUGGGGAUUGGAGGAAAUUUGGGAUUGGGGAUCAGAGGAAAUUCGGGAUUCCGGGGAUGGGGGAACGGGGCCGGAUCAAGGGCGGGACCCCCCCGGAUCUCCGGGAAUUCCGGAAUUCCGGGAAUGCCGGGAGCGGCGGCCGUACCUGCGCGAGGAGCUGUGCUCCCGACCUGCCGGGAAAGAGCCGCUGUCAGAUCCCAAAAUUCCCAAAUUCCAAAAAUUCCCAAAUUCCCAAAUUCCCAAACCCCAAAAUCCCAAAAAUCCCCAAAUCCCCAAAUUUCCAAAACCCCAAAUUCCAAAUCCCAAAUCCCCAAAUCCCAGCUCCCAAAAAUCCCAAAUCCCAAAAUCCCAAAUCUCAAAAUCCCAAAUCCCAAAUGCACAAAAUUCCAAAUCCCCAAAAUCCUCAAUCCAAAUUCCAAAAUCCCAAAAUCCCAAAUUCCUCAAAUCCCAGCUCCCAAAAAUCCCAAAUCCCCCAAAUUCCCAAAAUCCCCAAUCCCAAAAUCCCCAACCCCGAAUCCCCAAAUCCCAGCUCCCAAAAAUCCCAAAUCCCAAAUUCCCCAAAAUUCCCAAAUU